AAAAAAAGAAGAAGGGUGAAGUUGUGAUAGAUUAGAUGCCAAGUCCAAAGCCGCUUCUUUAAAUUUGUCGUCUAUCAAGCGACAUGUAUGCUUGAAUUUGGCAUUUCCAAGUGUGCAAAAUCCAAGGCCAUCUUUUUAAUGAUUUGGCUCUACUCUAGUCUUCUAGAUGCUGUUCUUUUUAUCAUCCACAUGCUUAUCA
rnacentral:lncRNA from 1 species